ensembl:lncRNA
GUCAGAGAUUCUUUCCUCAGCUGUGUCUUAUCUUUCUUUAUCCAUUCACAUAUAAUCUGUAAGCAUCUAUGGGUUUAAAGUGGGUUUCUUGGAGACAACGUAUAAUUGAGUCAUGUUUUUAGAUCUACUCUGGUUAUCUUUCUUUGAACUGGUGCACUGAGACUAUUGAUGUUUAAUUUAUUGAUAUAGUGGAAUAAGUAUCUAAUGUAUUUGUUACCAUUUCCUAUUCAUUGCCUUUGUUCCUGUUUUAAUCUUCCACUCUUCUUUUUAUGAUUCUAAUCGAGUAUUUUGUAUGAUUUCAUUCUCUCUGCUUUGUUAGCAUAUCAGUUGUACUUCUUAUUUUUUUUUAUGUAGUUGCCCUGGCAUUUACAAUAUGUUUUUACAGCUAAUCGAAGUCCACUUUCGAAUAACACUGUAUGGCUUGACAGGUAAUUUGAGUACCUUCUAAUUUUAAAAAAUCCUCAUUACUUUCCUCCAUUGUAUCAUUGUUGUCAUUCAUUUCACUUUUACAGAAAAAUAUAUACUAUGUGUGUGUAUAAAAACGCACAAUGGAGUACACUGUUGCUAGUGUUAUUUUGAACAGUGUUAUCUGUUAGAUUUGAAUAGGCUUUUUCCAUAGAAGACAUGCAAAAGGCAAACAGAUACAUGAAAAGAUGCUCAAUAUAACUAAUGGUUGGAGAAAUGCAAAUUAGAAUCACAAUGAGAUACCACCUCACACCUGUUAUCAUGUCUGUUAUGAAAAAGACAAGAAAUAAGUGUUGGUGAAGAUGUGGAAAAAAGGGACCCUUUGUACACUGUUGGUGGGAAUGUACAUUGUUGCAGGCACUGUGGAAAAGAGCAUGGAGAAUCCUUACAAAAUUAAAUAAGGAACUACAGUAUGGUCUGGCAGUUCCACCGGUGUGUUUAUCCAAGGGGGCUGAAGUCAUCAUCUCAAAAAGAUAUUUGUACCCCAUGUUUAUUGCUGCAUUAUUUACAAUAUCCAAGAGGUGGAAACAAACUAAGUGUCCACUGAUGGAUGAAUGGAUAACAAACAUGUAUAUAUGGAAUACAAUUCAAUAUUAUUCAACCAUAAAAUAAGGAAAUCUUAUCAUUUGCAACAACAUGGUUGGACUUUGAGGGCAUUCUGCUAAGUGAAAUAAGUCAGUCAGGGGAAGACAAAGUUGUCCCUCCAUUUCUGCAGAGUAUUGAUUCCAGGAGUCUCUGCACAUCCUGAAAUUUGUGGAUGCUGAAGUCCCAUAGUCAUCCCUCUGAUUCUGAAGUUUCACAUCUGUGAAUUCAACCACAGAUCAUGUAAUGCUGUGUAUUUAUUGAAAAGUAUCCAUAUAUGAGUGGACCCAUGCAGUUCUAACCCAUGUUGUUCAAGGGUCAGCUAUACUACCUGAUUACACUUACAUGUGGAGCCUUUAAAAGCAAACAAAACAAAACAAAAUACCCCACAAAACUCAGAUACAAAUAACAGAUUAGUUGUUGCCAGAGCUGAGAAAGUGGAUUGGAUGAAAUAGUUGAAGGGUGCCUUGGAUGAAAUAGGUGAAGGGUGCCAGAAGCUACAGAGUUUUAUUUAUAAGAUGAAUAAGUUAUAAGGUUAUAAGUUUAUAUAUGGAUAAGUUAUAGUAUGAAUAAACCUUUUGCAGUUGUUCCAGAGUUUUUGGGUAUUCUGUUUUUUUGUUUUUGUUUCUGUUUAAUGGAAGUAUACUUGAUUUACAGUGUUGUGUUAAUUUCUGCUGUACAUCAAAGUGAUUCACUUAUACAUACAUUAUUAUUUAUGUAUUAUUUCCACCAUGAUUUAUUAUAGGAUAUUAAUUAUAGUUCCCUGUGCUUAUACAGUUGACCUUGUUGUCUAUCCAUUCUAUAUAUAAUUGUUUGCAUCUGCUAGUCCCAAACUCCCACUCCUACUCCGCCACAACCUUCCCCCUCCCCAUUGGCAACCACAUGUCUGUUCUCUGUGUCUGUGAGUCUGUUUCUGUUUUGUAGAUAAGUUCAUAUAUGUAAUAUUUUAGAUUCCACGUAGAGGUGAUAUCACAUGGUAUUCGUCUUUCUCUUUUUGACUUCAACUAGAGUAUGAUAAUCUCUAGUUUCACCUAUGUGGCUGCAAAUGGGAUUAUUAUUAUUUUUUUAAUGGCUGAGUAGUAUUCCAUUGUAUAUAUGUACCAGAUCGUCUUUAUCCAUUCAUCUGUUGGUGGACAUUUAGCCUGUUUGUAUGUCUUGGAUAUUGUAAAUAGUGCUGCUAUGAACAUAGGGGUGCAUGUAUCUUUUUUUUUUUAAUCUUUAAAAUUUUUAUUGGUCAAUGUUUAAUUCUGAUAUCAGGUGACUAAUUUAGUUGAUUAUCUUUUUUUUGAAUUUUAUUUAUUUUUUUAUACAUAUAUACACUAAUAUGUAUAAAAUGGAUAACUAAAAAGAACCUGCAUGUAUCUUUUUGAAUUAUAGUUUUUUCUGGAUAUAUGCCCCAGAGUGGGAUUGCUGGAUCAUAUGGCAACACUAUGUUUAGCUUUUUGAGGAACAUCCAUACUGUUUUCCAUAGUGGCCUGCACCAGCUCCACAUUCCCAGCAACAGUGCAGGAAGGUUCCCUUUUCUACACAUCCUUUCCAGCAUAUUAUUUGUAGACUUUUUUUUUUUUGCGAUACCACGGGCCUCUCAUCGUUGUGGCCUCUCCCUGUUGUGGAGCCCAGGCUCCGGACGCCCAGGCUCAGUGGCCAUGGCUCACGGGCCCAGCCACCCCGCAGCAUGUGGGAUCUUCCCGGACUGGGGCACGAACCCGUGUCCCUGCAUCAGCAGGUGGACUCUCAACCACUGCAACCACCAGGGAAGGCCCCCCAUGUAGACUUAAUAAUGGCCAUUCUGUGCUGUUGUGAGGUGGUAUCUUAUUGUAGUUUUGAUUUGCAUUUCUUUUUCUUUCCUUCCUUCCUUUGUCCCUUCCUCCCUCCUUCUCACCUUUCCUUCCUUCUGAAGUUUUCUUCCUUCCUUCCUUCCUUCCCUCCCUCCCUCUUUCUUUCUGUUUCCUUUUUUUCUUUCUCUUUUUCUUCCUUUCUUCCUUCUUUUAGUCCUUUUUCCCUUUGUUUUCCAGUUUUGAAAGUUUCUACUAUGAGAACAUCAAGCUCAGAGAUCUUUCCUCAGCUGUGUCCAGUCUAUGAAUAAGCCCAUCACAGUCAUUCUUCAUUUCUGUUCUGGUGUUUUUGAUCUCUGGCAUUUCUUUUUGGUUCUUUCUUAGAAUCUCCAUCUCUCUGCUUACAUUGCCUUUCUGGUCUUGUAUGCUGUCUGCUUUAUCCACUAGCAGAUACUAAUUAGGAUGUUAAUUGUGAUUUUUAUAUAUUCCCAAUAUGAUCAUUCCAACAUCACUGUGUUAUCUAAUUCUGGUUCUGAAACUUUCUUUGUCUCUUCAGACUUUGUUUUUUGGGGCACUGCAAAUGUUCAGUAGAAUCCAGGGUUGCAAAAUAGUUACCUCAGUUAUAUUCUGCCCAUACAAUUGUUGUUUAGGUGAGGAGAUGGAUUCCUAACACUUGGUUCUCCAUCUGCUGUACAUCCUUCUCUCUGGCUGUACUGGAGGUUCUUUUUGGAACACUUAAAUAUCAUUUCUUUGUCUGCUGUGUGAUGAAUUCCUCUGGGGCAGUGUUGGCCACUCACCUGUCCUUACUUUCCAUUAGGACUUGCAUCAUUUGCAUCCCAUGUAGUUCUUCAGCUGGGGGUGAAGAGUGCUUGAUGCUUCAUGGGAUGGACAUGACUCUGGUCUCAGCUUAAAGAGUUAAGAGGUAGCCUGGAUAAGAUGAAUGGCAGCUAGAAGAGGGCUUGACAUCAAGUCUCUGUUCAAGUCAUAUGAGGAACGUUAUCUUGUGUGACUAGUGUUUUAGUGCCAUUGCCGGUGGCCCCAAAUCACUUCUCUACUCCUUCUCCUUUCUUGACACUUUGCCAAUUUGUUAUUUCUAUUACCUUCCCAUUUUCAGUCUGAUGCUAAGCUAGAAUCUAUUCCCUACCACCUCUCUAAACCACUUACCUCGUGUGAUCUUAGUACUGUUUUCCCUGUAGUACUUAUAGACAUUGUUAUGUUCUCAAAUACGCAGGUAUCCUUUAAUAUUUCUUGGACACCAGCUAUCUGUUCCAGUCAGAUUUUCUGGGGGCUGGGCAUACACUUCUGCACAGUAUUGCAGGUCACCAGGAGAUGUGGUCCUGGUAAAAGCAACUGACAGAGGAGUGAAUUGUAGAACUCGCUUUUUGUCUUGGGCCUCAGCCAGUCCUUGUGCCCUGUACUUGGUGAGAGCAGCUGCUUCCUCAGUGUGACCCCAACUUCAUUUCCUGAACACGAUCCCUUGGACUGUUUCCUUCACGUGUCAGACAUACAGUUGUGACGGUGUCAGCACCCCCAGUGGAGUCAACAAGAACUUCAUCACUUCUUUGUUUUCAGGUUCUUGGUGUGGAGUCAAGAAUGAAUAGAACAUAUCUGAGGAUGGAGUGUUAACAGAUGAGGACUCCCAGGGCAGGUUCAUCUCCUGAGAAGGCCCAGCCCUGUAAGAUGUGUGUCCCAGUCUUGAGAGACAUUUUCACUUUGCUGAAGAGCAAGUAAUAAAUAGGGGCCAGAAAACGUACACAUGUGGGGCAUGUGGGAAAUAAUUCUAUUUCACUGCAAACCUCAACAGCACCAGAGGCAGCACAUUAGAGAGAAACCUUCUGAUGUGAUGUGGGGAGAACUCCGUUUUUGAAGAGCUGCACAGUCUAUGCAUCAGGGAAUCUCUCUACCUACAUGGAGAUUGGGAAGGACUUCAUGGCCAAUGUGGGAUUUCAGCAAGAGGCCACUAAUACCAGGAAGCAACAAAACAACAUUAAGGAGUGUGAAGCUGUUUUUCACAGUGAAAAAGGUCAUCACAGCUGGGGAAAAGGCAAGAAAGCCUCCAGCCAGACAGAAAUACUUGUUGAGGAUGAGAGAGUCCUCACUAGUGAAGGGUUUUGUGAGUUCAGCAAAUGUGGGACAGCCUGCACCCAAAGAACUAACCUUAUUCAACACCAGAAAGUUCACACUGGAGAAAAGCCUUAUGUGUGCAGUGAAUGUGGGAAAUCUUUUAUCUAAAGGUGCCUCUCAUUCUACAUCAGAGAGUUCACACUGGCAAAAAGGGCCGUAUGAAUGCAAUGAUUCAGGAAAAUCUUUUAUCUGCCAGUAUGGUUUCCUUACACAUCAAAGAGUUUACAUUGGAAAAAGGCCUUAUGAGUGCAGUGAAUAUGGGAAAUUCCUUUAGUUGAAGCUAUGACCUCAGUAGGAAAAUCUACACUGGAGAAAUGCCUGGUAAGUCCAAAGAACGUGGAGAAUCUUUUAGCUGAAGUUCAACCUCAUUUAUCAUCAGCAUUCCCACUGAAGAAAGACUUUAUAAAUGCAGCAAAUAUGGGAAAUUGUUUAGCUGAAACUUCAGCCUCAUGCAAUGCCAGAGAGUUUACAGUAAUGAGAGGCCAUAGAAAUGUCGUGAGUAUGGGAAAUCCUUCAAGCAUAACUCGAGGUGCUUAGCUCAUCAGAAAGUCCACACUUGGUAAAGGCCUAUGAGUGUGCUGAGUUUGGGAAAUCCAGCCUCAUUCAACAAUAGGAAGUUCAUACUGGAGAUAAGCCUUUUAAGUGCAAAGAAUGUGAAAAUCUUUUAGCCAGAGGUUCACCCUCAUUCAGGACUGAAGAGUUCACAGUGGAGAAAGACCUUAUGAGUAUGUGGGAAAUCUUUUAUUUGAAGCUUCAGGUUCAUCCAACACCAGUGUGUUCACUAGGGAAAGGGACUGAGAUGUACAGGGAUGCACCAUUUCUUUAAUAGAAUUACACUGGAAGAGAAUCCCUGUGAUGGGGAUGUCUACUUGAAUUGCCUCUCAUACCUGGAGGUGUGUCUACGGUGGGGAGAUUCCUCAUACAUCCCAGGUAUAUGGGGAGCUGUAAGGAUUUGAGUUGCACUUUCUAACGUGCCCAUGUCUCUUAGCAGAAUUAUAUUGGUGCCAGUUUCUGUAGCUACAGCGAUUUCACCUCUGCCACCUGGCAUUGUCUAAACAGUGUGCGUUCGUCAUCACCCCAUCAUGUUUAGGGAAGCCGAUCUCUGCCCCCUCACCAUUUGUUGGAGGAAAGCGUCAGUAGUCUUAGCUGUUCUGGGAUCCUUAUUCCCUUCUCUCUGAUGAUGUUGGGCGGGACCUGACCCAGAUUUGGCCGAGAUACCACAAUUUCAGUUCUGUUCGUGGCUUGCUGAGAAAGACUGCCUUUUCAGGUAAAUGUUUCAUGUGAUACUUCCAGCCUCCAAGUCAUCAACCUGAGAAUUUUCUGUCACACAGUGCCUUGGGGUUUGCAGUAAAAUAGAUAUUGUUCAAGCUGCCUUUGAUCUUGGUGUUCUAUUCACUGUGUGAGGUGGUUUCAAAAUAGAAUUUGGCUCUGCCAGUGUUAAGGGAUGAACAGCUUUUAGGGGAAUUCCAUACUUUUUCUCAGAGGUGAGAUAAUGAUGGAAGAAUAUAGCUGUCUUUACAGUUUUGGCCUAGAUCCAAAAGCUGCUCCCUUGGGCCGCAUUUUUGCCCAAGCCUUCCUAGGAAGGACUGUAGGAGUUUGUGUUUCUACUUCUGGGCUGGAUGCCAGGAUUAUUUUGUGGGCUAAGAAAACAUUUUGAGGAGGUGGGAAGAUGUUGUGACUAUCAGUGCUUCUGGGAGCAACAUGAAUCGCUUUUCUUGUUCACAUAAUGCUCAUUACUGCUGCUGGGAAUCCCUACCCCAAAUACUGCAAAGGAGGCAUGUAUCCUGAUACCCAGAAUUCAGUAGGCUAGUGUCACUGUAAAAGUACAGAGGUAAGGGGGCGCAAUCAUUGGUACAGAAACACUUGAUUAAUAGAGAGUGGAGGAGACUGCAGCCACAUAGACGGUAUGUGUUACUUAUAAAAGUGUAUCCACAAAUGUUCCAGUGAUUGUGACUGUAGGAUCAAUGUGCACAGAAGCUAUUAGGACCUCUAGGCAUGUUCAUCUUUUUUAUUUAUUGUCAGAGAAAUUUUUGUGGAUUCCUGUAGCUUCUGUGGGAUGUUCACCUCAAGGCCAUUGAUGCACAAGGAAGAAAACAGGCUUAGAUAAAAGGGAGAUCCCUUAACCCAGCCAUGUGGAUUUGGGAUGCAGCCAUCAUUCCUGGUGACUGAGAUGGAAAAGAACAUUGCUCACCAAUAUUUGCUGCUACUGAGGCAAGUCUUCCCCUCUUUAGUUUAUCAGGAACGAGAGUCAAUACAGUGUUGCCCAACCUGAUUUUAUGAAGACAGUGGAGGUCUCAAUGUUAUUUUGAACCCUUUAAAGCUUUUGUCAAUAUAGGUGAUGUGUAAUGAACUGCAGUUGUUUAAAGUAUAAAAUUUUUUUGGACAUACGUAUGAACCCAUGAAAUCAUCAUCAUGGUAAUGACUAUAUCUGUCACCCCUAAUUUACCUCAUGUCCUUUGGAAACCUCUCCUUCCCAUCCUCAGCCCUCUAGGCAACUAUUAGUUUGCCUUUAUUUAUAAUAGGCUAAUCUGUAUUUCUAGAAUUUUAUUUGAAUUAAUUAAUAAAAUGUUUUCUUAUUUUCU